rnacentral:rRNA from 1 species
UACGUAGGGUGCAAGCGUUGUCCGGAAUUAUUGGGCGUAAAGAGCUCGUAGGCGGUCUGUCGCGUCGGCUGUGAAAUCCCGGAGCUCAACUCCGGGCCUGCAGUCGAUACGGGCAGGCUAGAGUUCGGUAGGGGAGACUGGAAUUCCUGGUGUAGCGGUGAAAUGUGCAGAUAUCAGGAGGAACACCGGUGGCGAAGGCGGGUCUCUGGGCCGAUACUGACGCUGAGGAGCGAAAGCGUGGGGAGCGAACAGG